rnacentral:rRNA from 1 species
CCUACGGGAGGCAGCAGUGAGGACUAUUGGUCAAUGGCCGGAAGGCUGAACCAGCCAUGCCGCGUGAAGGUCAGUGCCCUAUGGGCGUUAAACUUCUUUUGUGCGGGAGCAAUAAUGGUCACGUGUGGCCAGACGAGAGUACCGUACGAAUAAGCAUCGGCUAACUCCGUGCCAGCAGCCGCGGUAAUACGGGGGAUGCAAGCGUUAUCCGGAUUUAUUGGGGUUAAAGGGUGAGUAGGCUGUGAGGUAAGUCAGCGGUGAAAUGCCCCCGCUCAACGGGGUGAAGUGCCAUUGCUACUGCCUUGCUGGAAUGCGGAUGCCGUGGGAGGAAUGUGUGGUGUAGCGGUGAAAUGCAUAGAUAUCACACAGAACACCGAUUGCGAAGGCAUCUCACGAAUCCGCGAUUGACGCUGAUGCACGAAAGCGUGGGUAUCAAACAGGAUUAGAUACCCCAGUAGUC